CAAUGUUUACGAUUUGCUUGUGUAAUUAUUUGUUAUGUUUGUAAUGAAAAGGGAUCAGCAUUAAUCGUGGACUGCUGUGUCUUGGAAACGUGAUCGCUGGCUUGGUGAUGAAAGCAAGAAGGGAACUUUCGUACCAUACAGAGACUCUAAGCUGACGCGUCUUCUCCAGGACUCUCUCGGAGGAAACAGUCACACGUUAAUGAUUGCGUGCGUCAGCCCAGCGGACUUCAACAUUGAGGAAACGAUCAAUACGUUGCGAUACGCUGAUCGUGCCCGUGAAAUCAAAAAUAAACCCAUUUUAAAUGUUGACCCACGUGCAGCGGAAAUGAAGCGACUCAAACAGCAGAAUUUCUCCAGCUUUGGAAAAAACUCUUUCACAUGGCACAGAUGUAGCUGGUAUUGAGAGAGUUCCCAUAGGUUCUUCCUGUCCUUCUGCUGAAGUGGCUGCAGCUGAAGCUGAUGGCUGAGGUGACCCAGGUGGUGGAGCCGAUGAGGUUUCGCGCAUCACUGCACUGCAUUCAGCAAUGCAGUCCCUUGACUGCAGCGUCAGCAUUGGCUGCACAGCCAAACACAACAGUCUUGAAUCUGGGAUCCAAAAGUGUAGCCUUAGCCAAGGUCCUCAAGGAUUCCACUGUUCCAAAAGAGAGCUAACAGUGGCAUGGUUAAAGGCUGAAAGGGCUUGAAGACACUGUGCGGUUGCUUCAAACUGUCCACUGUUCAAGGGUGUCACAUUGGUGUUUAAGGAUGUUAGAGCAGCACCAAUGCUUCACGUUCUUUAUAUAUUCUUUGGAGCAUGAAAAAUGUGCUGUUCCACCUUGUUUCCACCUCUUGAAUCAGUUUCUUCUUCGGUCUGCCCAUCUGCUGCUGAAUUGCUGACAGUUUCUCAGUGGCAUCUGUGCUGCAUCUAAAGAAGGACUCCAGCAAAAUGGACUUUGCUUCUUUGAUGUGCUCUGCUGUGUGGGUUUCAGGAAACUUCAAAACUCCCAGCACAACACUACACAACUUCUCUUCAUUGAUAUAAUGGCAUGUUACUGCAAGCAACCAUGUUUUUCAGCCCAUGCCUUGAUGGAAGCACAUAUGUUGGAUCCAGUUUCUGCACAAAAGCCCUUAAGCCCUCCUCCUCCACCAUGGAAAAUGGCUGGGAAUCCUUCACUAUCAUGUCCACCAGAGCCUCAUCAAUGCCCCUUUGCCUUGCUGGAAAAUUGAAAAAUAAAAAUUCAUUAUUUAAACUUUGUCAUUUAUUCAUAUACAUGUGCCUGGUUUCAGUCAAGGCUUUGUUGAAGCCUGUUCUAGGCCUUGGUAAC